AACGAACGCUGGCGGCAGGCCUAACACAUGCAAGUCGAACGCGAACGCUCCUUCGGGAGUUAUUAGAGUGGCGCACGGGUGAGUAACGCGUGGGGACCUACCAUUCGGUGGAGGAUAACAGCUGGAAACGGCUGCUAAUACUGCAUACGCCCUUUUGGGGAAAGAUUUAUUGCCGAAUGAUGGACCCGCGUUAGAUUAGCUAGUUGGUGAGGUAAGAGCUCACCAAGGCGACGAUCUAUAGCUGGUUUGAGAGGAUGAUCAGCCACACUGGAACUGAGACACGGUCCAGACUCCUACGGGGAGGCAGCAGUGGGGGGAAUAUUGCGCAAUGGGGGCAACCCUGACGCAGCCAUGCCGCGUGAGUGAAGAAGGCCUUAGGGUUGUAAAACUCUUUCAGUGGUGAAGAUGAUGACGGUAACCACAGAAGAAGCACCGGCUAACUCCGUGCCAGCCGCCGCGGUAAUU
rnacentral:rRNA from 1 species